rnacentral:rRNA from 1 species
UGGGGAAUCUUGCACAAUGGGGGCAACCCUGAUGCAGCGACGCCGCGUGAGCGAUGAAGCCCUUCGGGGCGUAAAGCUCUUUCGACCGGAACGAUAAUGACGGUACCGGGAGAAGAAGCUGCGGCUAACUACGUGCCAGCAGCCGCGGUAAUACGUAGGCAGCAAGCGUUGUUCGGAGUUACUGGGCGUAAAGAGUGCGUAGGCGGUUUUCUAAGUUCGGUGUGAAAUCUCCCGGCUUAACUGGGAGGGUGCGCCGAAGACUGAGAAGCUGGAGUGUGGGAAAGGCAGGCGGAAUUCCUGGUGUAGCGGUGAAAUGCGUAGAUAUCAGGAGGAACACCGGCGGUGUAGACGGCUUGCUAGACCAUAACUGACGCUGAGGCACGAAAGCGUGGGUAGCAAACA